AGAUUGAACGCUGGCGGCAGGCCUAACACAUGCAAGUCGAGCGGUAGAGAGGUGCUUGCAUCUCUUGAGAGCGGCGGACGGGUGAGUAAUGCCUAGGAAUCUGCCUAGUGGUGGGGGAUAACGUUCGGAAACGGACGCUAAUACCGCAUACGUCCUACGGGAGAAAGCGGGGGACCUUCGGGCCUCGCGCCAUUAGAUGAGCCUAGGUCGGAUUAGCUAGUUGGUGAGGUAAUGGCUCGCCAAGGCGACGAUCCGUAACUGGUCUGAGAGGAUGAUCAGUCACACUGGAACUGAGACACGGUCCAGACUCCUAGGGAGGCAGCGAGUGGGAAUAGUGGACAAGUGGGACGAAAGCCUGACUCCAGCCAGUGCCGCGUGUGUAGAAGUAGGUCUUCGGAUUAGAAAGCUAACGUUUAAGGU
rnacentral:rRNA from 1 species